rnacentral:rRNA from 1 species
CCCUACGGGGGGCAGCAGUGGGGAAUAUUCCACAAUGGGGGAAACCCUGAUGCAGCGACGCCGCGUGAGUGAAGAAGUAAUUCGUUAUGUAAAGCUCUAUCAGCAGGGAAGAAAAUGACGGUACCUGAGUAAGAAGCCCCGGCUAACUACGUGCCAGCAGCCGCGGUAAUACGUAGGGGGCAAGCGUUAUCCGGUUUUACUGGGUGUAAAGGGAGCGUAGACGGCUGUGCAAGUCUGGAGUGAAAGCCGG